GUUUAUGGUGAUCGAUCAGUGCCUCAUCAAUGUGGUCAUGGUUGUUGUAAGAGUCAUAACCAGGGAUCUCCUCUAGAAUCGUUAUUAGGGCCAGAAUUUGUGGACUUCUCAGAGCCUCCACCAUCCUUCCCUAGUUUUGAACUAGCUGCAAUUGCAACUGACAUAAGUAACCUUGCUUGGCUGAAAAGUGGGUUGGAGAAUGGCAGUGUUAGAGCUAUGGGAGAUUCGGCUGGAAGAUUAAAUGGUUCUCCGAUGCAAAUGGGGCAUUUAUGAGAGACGUUUACUUUGAAGUGGAGAAUAAUAGGCUAGCUACUAGCAGAUAUGAUUGAUUUUGACAAGGAUUGUUUAUGCGAUUCCUACAUACUACAAGAAUUGACCUGAAUUUUA
rnacentral:misc_RNA from 1 species